CAACACCAACAUCAACUAGUACUAUGCCAACUACAACACCAACUACAAUCAGCACUAUGCCAACACCAACGACCACCAACACUCAUUCCGCAAUACAAAAUGCAACAGCAUCAGCUUCUACCACUGAUGCACCAACAACAACCAUGCAAAGUACUACUUCAAGGACUACUUCCACCACUGCAAGCACAACAGCUGUUCUUUCAACACCCACCACACCAGCCACAACCAAACCAGCUACAUCAAACACUGAAUUCACAACAAUACAUAACACAACUUCACUUACUUCCACCACUGAUUGCACAACUGUUUCCAACACUACAAGUCCAACACAAAGUACAUCUGUUCCUUCUUCAUCAAGCACAACAGCAAGAACCCCACCAGGGUCUACAACUGAUAAAACAACAAAAUCAACAGCAGCAGUUACAGACUCAAAUCACACUGUCGCAGUUGUGAGAAUGAAACUUUCCUCCUUGUCUCCACUGGAUGAAGACUACAUCAGGAAUACACUAUUACCCCAGAUUAAAGGUGAACUGGUGAGUCGAGGGCUGCCGUCAGACUGCUCUAUACGCCUUGUGAGCAGUGGGACACUUGAUCCGUCAACCACAGCGCCCCCUAAUGGAUAAUGUGAAUGCUUUUUCUUGUUCCCUCUCAGAGAUAAAUCAAACAUCACUCAUUCACUUCCAGAAACUGCCAAAUUUUAAGUCUGGACCAGACGCCUCUUUCUGA